CACGUAGGGACCAAGCGUUGUCCGGAAUUACUGGGCGUAAAGGGCGCGUAGGCGGCUAGAUGUGUCAAAGGUGAAAUCCCUCGGCUCAACUGAGGAACUGCCUUUGAAACUGUCUGGCUUGAGGCCGGGAGAGGGUAGCGGAAUUCCCAGUGUAGCGGUGAAAUGCGUAGAUAUUGGGAGGAACACCAGUGGCGAAGGCGGCUACCUGGACCGGUUCUGACGCUGAGGCGCGAAAGCGUGGGUAGCAAACAGG
rnacentral:rRNA from 1 species